UUAACUAUGCUGUUUGCCGGAAUACGGGAACGGCAGUUUGGCGGCCAAUGGACAGAUAACAGAACAUCCGCCUUCCUGCAACCAUUUAUGUGCUCCGGCAAACCGGAGAAUGGGUUGAAGUUGAAGAAGAAAAAUCAUCGAAAUUCCAAUGCAGAGACAGCAGCACACACUCCUGCUGUGUGACAGAUUUGAAUAGCGGAUCUUUGACGGAGGGAGCGUUCUGAAAUCGGGGGAUUCUCACCCAGUUGGACGUGAUCGAUAGGUGGCGUAUUACUGAAAACGGAUAGCCACCUGAGACUGGACGUCAUUCGAUCCGGCCUCGUCCAUCCCGACGCGGAUCUCAAUCAAUCCCAUGGAGCUGAGCGACAGCGGAUCCUUGUCCGUUUCCAGCAACCACAGGUGGAAGAGGUGGCCCGAUUCACUUCGUGCCGAUCAUUUCCUGACAAGGGCGAUGCUUAGCGCGGCUUAGCGCUCGGAAUUUGGUCGACACUCAGGCCAUUCUUCGUGACAGAGGAACCGGAUCUGCUCACGGAUUUUGCGUCAACAUCAGUGAAACAAGAAGGACCCAUCCUCUUUCACAGCGCUGAAGUAGGACCUUUGGAGAAUAACGAGUCUCAACUGUUCAUUUUGACUAUUUCACCUGGGGAGAGUCACGGUCACUGCAAUAAGUACAACAAUUUAAAACAAUGUCUAGCAAAAUUAUACCACACUUCCGACUGAAGAUCAACGAAGAUCACAACGGUUAAGCCGUACUCAGCAGUAACGGUCGCCAUCAUGUAGUAAAGGAAAUUCUGGGUCUUCCUACUAAUAUCGGAGAGGCCACGUUUCCAUGAAUCUAUAAGCUUUCAGUUCUAAGUUGAUUAAAUGUUUGUCUAAUUACUUGACAUGACUGAACAGCUGGAUCUCUCCUUAAGUUUUGAAUACAAUCACCAUAAGUUAAUACCGAUGGCAAUAACAUAA